UACGUAGGGGGCUAGCGUUGUCCGGAAUCAUUGGGCGUAAAGAGCGUGUAGGCGGCUUGGUAAGUCCGCUGUGAAAGUCCAGGGCUCAACCCUGGAAUGCCGGUGGAAACUGUCAGGCUCGAGUCCGGAAGAGGCGAGUGGAAUCCUGGUGUAGCGGUGAAAUGCGCAGAUAUCAGGAAGAACACCCGUGGCUAAGGCGGCUCUCUAGUACGGUACUGACGCUGAGACGCGAAAGCGUGGGGAGCGAACAGG
rnacentral:rRNA from 1 species